AUACGGAGGGAUCGAACGUUAAUCGGAAUUACUGGGCGUAAAGCGCGCGUAGGCGGCUUGUUAAGUGAGAUGUGAAAGCCCCGGGCUUAACCUGGGAACUGCAUUUCAAACUGGCAAGCUAGAGUAUGGUAGAGGGUGGUAGAAUUUCCUGUGUAGCGGUGAAAUGCGUAGAUAUAGGAAGGAAUACCGAUGGCGAAGGCAGCCACCUGGACCAAUACUGACGCUGAGGUGCGAAAGCGUGGGGAGCAAACAGGAUUAGAAACCCGGGUAGUCC
rnacentral:rRNA from 1 species